UGCCGAGUACUCUACUGUCAAGAGUAGCUUGUGAAGGAUAUGGGUAUAAGUAUCCUUCCGAUCUGAGACCACCAUGGUAACUUGUAAGCAACUCACUGUACUUUAGUAUCAGACUAUUUGAGUUUCUAAUUUAGUGAUGGAAGGAUACUAGGUGCAGUCAAGUACUUAUCAAGUCGGUGUGUGAGUCAAGAUGAAAUUG
rnacentral:lncRNA from 1 species